CCUAUCUCAGCCUCCUGGGUAGCUGGGACCAAUGGUUAAGAUGACCUCACAUACCCAUUGUGAUGCUCAAAACCCGGGAGGAUCUUAAAGAAAAGCUGCUUUGCACGAACUGUAUACAUGCGGCUUCCUGCUCCUGCGAGAACUGUCACUGGUUUUCAUUUCAUGCGUUUGAAAAACACACGAGCCAUGUGUGUGAGCCUGUUAAUUAAAACAAAAACAGAACUGUU